UCUCUUGCUUUUCUCGCUUCCAAAACUCCAAAAGUCAAAACUACUCGAUAGAGAAAGCUUAACUGCAGAACUGACCAAUAUUUUUAAUUUUUUUGUCACGUUUGAAUUAACUCGGCUGGAUCAUUAUUAUAGUAGGAUCGAGGACAAUAACUGACAUAUCAAUGGAGUCCACAUUUUCGCAAGAGCCGGACGAGGAAGGAACAGUGGUCCCCAGCGGAGUCGACAGCACGUUCAAGCAUUCCGUAUGCGAGGGGAAAGUUCCUCCCAGACCCCGCACAUCAUCGGUGGGCGGCGAAGGACAAACGAAAACUGCCCCGGAGCCGGUUGCCGAUGCAGCCGAACCCAAGAAGGUUCAUGUGGAUGAUGAAGCAUGAUUGUCGCGGAACUGAUUAUCAUUGGACCGCGGUAGAUGAUAAAUAAAUCUGAAGCUAUGUCGAUCCCAAUAUUUGGGAUGCCUUCUCAUUUCCAGUUAUAGUUUCCGCUUCGGCAGUACUUUAAGCCGUAUAAAGUUUCCGAUGCAGUUUUGUUUUUUCGUGUCCUCAUUUACAGUUUGCCUGUGUCGUUAAUAGGGUUAAUUUUCACUUAUUUUCACUACCAGUAGUUUUGUAGAUAAAUGGGUAGUUUUGGUUUGAUUCUAUUAAUUUGAACCACGAUACGUAAUAGUGA